GGUUUUCCAUGCUGGCAUGGGUUGCACAGUUUGACAGGAGCUAUCUGUUUUGGCUGGAUUUCUACAGCUGGAUGUCCUACUUAGUACCAACCACUUUACAGAGUGUGCUGGGUGCUGAACUUACACGCUGAUGUGUUAUAUUUCUCAGACAAUUUACCAAAAUGUUUCAGAAACAUAUGAGCUGACCUUAGCAAGUGAUGUAAUAGCACUGCUAACACAAUAGAACAUGGUAUUGACUUAAAAAAACAUUUACUCUACUUUGUAAUAUAUUGUGGUUGCAUAACAAAAUACCAUGUUCUUAAAGUCUUUAAUAUUAGCUGGAGUUUAUAGUGGUACUCCAGUUCAAUCAGCAACAACUGCUAUCAUACUAACACUGUUUGUUAGUAAUGUUACAUCUUCAAUGUUGACUGCUGUGCCAUUCCAGUCUGGUCACGACCUGAAUAUGACUUGGAUAAUUAUCAUUGUAGCAGCAGCUGUAAUAGUAUCUGUGGCUAUUGUAGUGUCCAUAACACUGUGUGUUUUCAGAUGUAUUAAUCACACAAAUAACGCACCUACAACAGCAGAGAAUCCCAACUUUCUCUCUCAGACUGAGAUGAGACAAUUGCAAGAAAUGCAGAAGAGAUAUUUAACUGAAAUCUUCAGACAAUAGAGUUUAAAAGUCAGUUUUUUCUGGAGAUGGAACAGACACCAGAUGAGAGGAAAUUCUGAACAACACAGAGGAGACUUCUCACCUGUUCCUCAGUCGAGAAGGUCACAUCAGUUCCAACCUGUCUAACUACAACAGUGACACCUUAACAUCCCAAAAGGACAGAGAAGCUAGCAAGAGUAAUGGCAAGACUAAACCAUAUGAUGAGAUACCUGCAGAACCAGAAUAUACCAAUGACAAUCCAGUGGCAGCCACAAUACUAAAGGGACAGCAAAUACAAGAUACCUUUCUACAGCCAACAUAGUAGAUGUUCCAUGACUAUUGUUAAAUGAUUCUCUCACAUACCAAAUUUUAUACAAUACUUUAUAUUCAUAUAAAAAUAUCAACUUUAUUUUUCUUUCACACAUCACACAAAACAUGCCUUUAAUGUGAUUUACAUCUCUGAUACAUGAAAUACUACAAAUACCCUUCUGUAUAUUAUCAUUGAUGACAGUAUAUUGGGCUCAUUGUAUGUUAUAUUUAAAUUGCUAAGCUCCUGUUUUAGUGUAAUUCUAAUUUCUAUAUUUACUUCAUCCAUUUGUAGCAUAAAACAACAUAAAAGUUUUGCUAUUAUAUCAUUUAACUAAUGAUCUUAAUCUCAAAUGUUGUAAUCUGGUAGAAUGAAUCACACACAUGCAUGCACACAGUUCACAGAUUCAGAUUCAAGUUAUUAUUUCUUUAUUCUAGAA